AGUGAACGCUGGCGGUAGGCCUAACACAUGCAAGUCGAACGGCAGCACAGUAAGAGCUUGCUCUUACGGGUGGCGAGUGGCGGACGGGUGAGGAAUACAUCGGAAUCUACUUUUUCGUGGGGGAUAACGUAGGGAAACUUACGCUAAUACCGCAUACGACCUACGGGUGAAAGCAGGGGAUCUUCGGACCUUGCGCGAUUGAAUGAGCCGAUGUCGGAUUAGCUAGUUGGCGGGGUAAAGGCCCACCAAGGCGACGAUCCGUAGCUGGUCUGAGAGGAUGAUACACCACAAUUGAAAUUGAGAAAGGUCCAGACUCCUACGGGAGGCAGCAGUGGGGAAUAUUGGACAAUGGGCGCAAGCCUGAUCCAGCCAUACCGCGUGGGUGAAGAAGGCCUUCGGGUUGUAAAGCCCUUUUGUUGGGAAAGAAAAGCAGCAGGUUAAUACCCCGCUGUUCUGACGGUACCCAAAGAAUAAGCACCGGCUAACUUCGUG
rnacentral:rRNA from 1 species